AUGCUGAGAGGGGCCACGACCUCCUGUCUUUUUCAAGAGCUCAGGGGGAAUCAAGGUGACAGUGAAAGAAGCCAUAUUUCCGUGGCUCCUGUGGGGAUAAAGUGGGAUGUGCUUGGCAAGCGACUAAUUCCUGGAACUGGGAGAAGCACCCUAGGCCCCAGUAGACUUGGGCUCACCCACUUGGCCUGUUCAGAUGUCACUGGGGGAAAGGAAGCACCAGAUCAGGAACUGUAUCUUGGCUGGGCCACCUGCAAACAGCCCUUAGAACAAUGUAAGUCACUCUCUGCAGGAUACUGAUUCGACGGAGCACAUGUUGAUUGGGCAGAAUGGGGGCUUUUUUUAACUGGAGGAAUUCCAGAUCUUUCCUUAGGCCUGUCUCUCCAGGGAAAUGAGCUUUAUCCUCAGAAAUCUACAGAGAACCUGAGUAAGAAGGAAGAUUUAUGAUGGGAGACGCUGGGCGGAAGACAGUUAUCUGGUGGGCUAUCUAGAAGCUCAUCUUUGUGCUAUUAGAGAAACGCUCCUCUCUGGACAGGAUAUGGUCUGGUUAUCACUUAAUCUUCUCAAGUUUCAUUCCCUUUCUGCUUCCAAAUGCCCCAAAUAUACAGAGAUGCAUUUCAUGAAGACAGCCUUUGAAGAGGCAGUUUAUCCCAGCUGUUGCAGUCUAUCUUAAACACCUACCUUUUCACCCGAGUGUGGAGUUUACAUGUCGAUAAGGGAUGUAAAAAAAAAAAAAAAAGAGGUGGGAGAGGCUCUGCAGAAAUCUCAGUGAACACUGGGGCUGCCUCUGGGGACUGGAGGAAGAAAAAGAGCCCAGAGCCCAGGAAGCUUCGAAUUCCCCAGAGGAGAGAAUACAUGCUUGUCUGGCCCCAAACACCAGGGACUGUAAACACUUUUCCAGUGACAUAAACCAAGGGAUUCUCUGCCUGCUGUUUUGCUUUAAAGAUGCAUGUCGGUGAGCCAGCCCUGAAGCUGUUGGCUCAUCCACGAACUCUCUCUCUCUCCUGGCCUCCUUCGUGAUGACUUCUCAACCCUGCCCUAAGCUGACGACACUCCCUUGCAGGCCUGGGGUGCACUCCCAGUUGGCCAAGUGGGAUUUGUUGGAAAUGACCGGGUCUGCAAGGUCGGAGCCAGAGGGUCUUGGGGGGCUGCUGGGGUACGUCUGGAAGAUUUUCAUAGAUUGCAGGAUGCAGUGAGGAGGGAGGUUGGAAUUAAGAGUUCAGGGGAGAAAACUGGAAGGGUGGUCCCGGGGUCCUGUUGCAGCCGGUUUUAGCUGAUGGGGGUGGAGGCAGAGAGGAAGUCGACCUGGGACUGGGAUUCCAGCCGCUGGCUCCUAGAGGAUGGGCUGUGUGUUUGAAGUCAGGACUGGUGGGCUUCAGGAAGCCGCUCCAUCAGGUUCCCAUUAGCCCAGACAGCGGCAGCGGUGGGUUCACACCACAACAUGGUAACAAUUAAGCCUCCUGCUACUGGUCCUUACCCUGGGGUGAGGCGCUUUUCUUCCUUGCUGAUGUGACUCGAAGUCGCCCUGGUUUCCUUACGGCCUGAUUUCCUGCAGAUCUCCGUGACUUCAGGUCUAAUCUUCUGAGACCACUCAUUAGACCACACAAAUUGCAGCAGCCGUCUCCAGCACGCAGCCCCGCUUCCAGACCCCCACGUGCCGAGGAGAACGACUGUAUGUCUCUGAAACACGAGAGGCGCUUCCUGUGUGGACAGUCGGCUUACCAAAAAUCAGAGUUAUAAAUAUUGGGGCAAAUAAACUAAUUAUACUUCCCUAGCCUGAGAGAUCC
rnacentral:lncRNA from 1 species